GAUGAACGCUGGCGGCGUGCCUAAUACAUGCAAGUCGAGCGAACAGACGAGGAGCUUGCUCCUCUGGCGUUAGCGGCGGACGGGUGGGUAACACGUGGAUAACCUACCUAUAAGACUGGGAUAACUUCGGGAAACCGGAGCUAAUACCGGAUAAUAUAUUGAACCGCAUGGUUCAAUAGUGAAAGACGGUUUUGCUGUCACUUAUAGAUGGAUCCGCGCCGCAUUAGCUAGUUGGUAAGGUAACGGCUUACCAAGGCAACGAUGCGUAGCCGACCUGAGAGGGUGAUCGGCCACACUGGAACUGAGACACGGUCCAGACUCCUACGGGAGGCAGCAGUAGGGAAUCUUCCGCAAAGGGCGAAAGCCUGACGGAGCAACGCCGCGUGAGUGAUGAAGGUCUUCGGAUCGUAAAACUCUGUUAUUAGGGAAGAACAAAUGUGUAAGUAACUAUGCACGUCUUGACGGUACCUAAUCAGAAAGCCACGGCUAACUACGUG
rnacentral:rRNA from 1 species